rnacentral:rRNA from 1 species
AUUGAACGCUGGCGGCAUGCCUUACACAUGCAAGUCGAACGGCAGCGCGGACUUCGGUCUGGCUGCGAGUGGCGAACGGGUGAGUAAUACAUCUGAACGUACCCUGUUGUGGGGGAUAACUAGUCGAAAGAUUAGCUAAUACCGCAUACGACCUGAGGGUGAAAGUGGGGGACCGGAAACUGCCUCAUGCAGCAGGAGCGGCCUAUGUCUGAUUAGCUAGUUGGUGGGGUAAAGGCCCACCAAGGCGACGAUCAGUAGCUGGUCUGAGAGGACGAUCAGCCACACUGGGACUGAGACACGGCCCAGACUCCUACGGGAGGCAGCAGUGGGGAAUAUUGGACAAUGGGGGCAACCCUGAUCCAGCAAUGCCGCGUGUGUGAAGAAGGCCUUCGGGUUGUAAAGCACUUUUGUCCGGAAAGAAAUCGCGAUGGUUAAUACCUGGCGUGGAUGACGGUACCGGAAGAAUAAGCACCGGCUAACUACGUG